GCACUAACUUUUGUUCUGAUGGUGAAACAAUGUUAUCUCAAAAUAUAAAAACAAAAAUACAAUUCUGAGAUAACAUUGUUUCACCAUCAGAACAAAAGUUAGUGC
rnacentral:miRNA from 1 species